rnacentral:rRNA from 1 species
GAUGAACGCUGGCGGCGUGCCUAAUACAUGCAAGUCGAGCGAACAGACGAGGAGCUUGCUCCUCUGACGUUAGCGGCGGACGGGUGAGUAACACGUGGAUAACCUACCUAUAAGACUGGGAUAACUUCGGGAAACCGGAGCUAAUACCGGAUAAUAUAUUGAACCGCAUGGUUCAAUAGUGAAAGACGGUUUUGCUGUCACUUAUAGAUGGAUCCGCGCCGCAUUAGCUAGUUGGUAAGGUAACGGCUUACCAAGUCAACGAUGCGUAGCCGACCUGAGAGGGGGAUCGGCCACACUGGAACUGAGACACGGUCCAGACUCCUACGGGAGGCAGCAGUAGGGAAUCUUCCGCAAUGGGCGAAAGCCUGACGGAGCAACGCCGCGUGAGUGAUGAAGGUCUUCGGAUCGUAAAACUCUGUUAUUAGGGAAGAACAAAUGUGUAAGUAACUAUGCACGUCUUGACGGUACCUAAGCAGAAAGCCACGGCUAACUACGU